UACGAAGGGGGCUAGCGUUGUUCGGAAUUACUGGGCGUAAAGCGCGCGCAGGCGGCCAUUCAAGUCAGGGGUGAAAGCCCAGAGCUCAACUCUGGAACUGCCCUUGAAACUGCAUGGCUUGAGUACGAGAGAGGUGAGUGGAAUUCCCAGUGUAGAGGUGAAAUUCGUAGAUAUUGGGAAGAACACCGGUGGCGAAGGCGGCUCACUGGCUCGUUACUGACGCUCAGGCGCGACAGCGUGGGGAUCAAACAGG
rnacentral:rRNA from 1 species